GUCCUUACAUCGUGAGUUGGCUCCUGCCAACGACGCGAGGCUGGGCGGAUAAAAGCGAAGUAGCGUCUGGUAACGUCCUGGGGUGUCUCCGAGAGAUGACGUUUCGAGACGAUGCGCUCGGCCGUCUGCGGAAACCGGAAACCGUGCCUCCCGCUGCACCUUCGCUCUGCCAGGCAGGGCUACCUCCAGGCACUCGGUAGCGUAGUCUGCAGGCCGAGCAGCAUUUGCACUCGUGACAAGCUGCUUGUGCCACUCAACCUUCCGCAGCCAGACAUUUGUUUCUACCCAUCAGACUAAUUGCUCUGACGUAUAGACGCCUCCAAAGUGGCGUCGUGCCAUCCAAUGGAAAAACAAGUUGUCUUUCUGACCUACCCAGGACCCAGGAAGCUGAAUUCACAGGUAGGCUAGUUAACAUCCUAUGAUGAGGAAGUCCCCUGCACAAGAAAACAUUGAAACGAAUCCAGUUUCCUCAGCCAACCUCCUUAAAACAACCUCUUCUGCUUGGCCUACGAUAGUGGUUGAGUCUUUAUGUUAUUGUUUUGCUUUGAAAUAGAGUUUAGUACGUAGACCUAGCCUCUA
rnacentral:lncRNA from 1 species